AUACGUAGGUGGCAAGCGUUGUCCGGAAUUAUUGGGCGUAAAGCGCAUGUAGGCGGUAAUUUAAGUCUGUCGUGAAACUGCGGGGCUCAGCCCCGUAUGGCGAUGGAAACUGGGUUACUUGAGUGCAGGAGAGGAAAGGGGAACUCCCAGUGUAGCGGUGAAAUGCGUAGUUAUUGGGAAGAACACCGGUGGCGAAGGCGCCUUUAUGGACUGUGUCUGACGCUGAGAUGCGAAGGCCAGGGUAGCGAACGGGAUUAGAUACCCCGGUAGUCCUGGCCGUAAACGAUGGGUACUAGGUGUGGGAGGUAUCGACCCCUUCCGUGCCGGAGUUAACGCAAUAAGUACCCCGCCUGGGGAGUACGGCCGCAAGGCUUAAACUUAAAGGAAUUGACGGGG
rnacentral:rRNA from 1 species